GAAAUCUGGAUUUGGGGUGUAAAAUCUCCCAACUUAUAAAAAUUUUAAAGUGAUUCAGUUUUUGUUUGUUUGUUUGUUUGUUUGUUUGUUUUAAAGCACUGUGCUGGCUGACAUUGUGUAGGCCAAACAACCAACAAGAACCCCACAUCUGUAGGCCUCUCCCUGCAAGUCUGUUUUGUAUGGGGUUAAAUGCAGGGACCUCUGAAAUGGGAAAUUACAAGAGAUAGCCGAGAGAAAUUUGGAUCUUGGUGGAAUAUUUGUUCUUUGAAAAAUGAGCUUUGCUAGGAAUUAAGAAUCCAAAGCAAAUGUAAGUUCAUCACCACCCUCAAGGUGUUCACAGUCUAAUGAGAAAGGAGAAUUUAAGCCAAUCAUUUCAAUACUGAGAUUGACGCUAAAGAAGAGAUAAGAGGGUGACACCAUAGACAACUAUGACAAGUGCUUGACUCCACCAGGAGAUCUUUCAACAGGAGAUGAAAAUCACCAGGCAGAAGGGAGAGGAAAGCAUUGGAGGCAGAGAUUCAUUCUGCGGACUGCAGGCCUUCAGAAACUCCGGUCCGCUAGAGACCUGUAUGAAAGGAGAAGCUGAGAAUACAGAUGGUGUCCUAAAGAUCGAAAACAGGUGAUGUCAUAACGCACAGUCCUGUGCGGUCACCGCCAAGGCCGGUGGGGAUGUGGGGCUCCCGCGAGCACGGAGCUCCGCGCCCGAGGGCCAAGCCAGUUAUCUCCGCGGCCGGGAGGACACCGGGGGGACCCGGCACCAAUCAGGCUCCUGCUCGGCGCCCGCCUUUGUUCUCACCGGGGAGCAGGUUUCCGUUCCGGGUGUCUCGCGUCGGGACCCGCACUGGACCCGCACGCGCGCUGCUGGCUUCCUCGGGAGACCUGCCCUCUCCUGCGCCCCACACUCUGCCAGCCGGAGCUUCCCCCACGUCCAUGUGCCCUCUCUCCCUAGAGCGUGCACGCCAAAAUCCUGACUCACCAUUUUUAGCUUUGAAGGAGGCAAGUCCAGCCCCAUAGUUUACAGACGAAUUGUUCUCUGAACCCUCCUUCCCGAGCCAGCCUCUGAGCUAUCCAUGCUUCGGAUCAACUGCCUCAGAAAGGACCAUGGGGUGGGAGGAUCAACCUGUCUCUGUGGCCAUCUCCUGCUGGACAAAUAAAGGAACUUUACUUGCUGAAAGGACUGCGAGAAGGUGCUUCAGAUGGCGGAGGAAACCGCUACACUAGAGAGGUUUCGUGUCCCCCCCCCCCCAACUCGAUUAAUGGUGUAAAUGUAUCUCCCAACAUCUACCCCUGCCUCCCGCCCGUGUCUCAGGUAACUGGUCUUUUGCAAAACAAGGCUCAAGAUAAACGA